CAACUGUUGCUGGAGUUUCACUUGUUGAAGCACCUGCAUUUCAGAAAGCUCCGGGCGGCGCCCCUGCCAAUGUUGCUGUCGGAAUAUCACGUCUCGGUGGAUCGGCGGCUUUCGUCGGCAAGGUAGGAAAGGAUGAAUUUGGGUAUAUGUUGGAGGGUAUACUAAAGGAAAACAACGUCAACAGUUCUGGUGUUCGAUUUGAUGUGGG
rnacentral:misc_RNA from 1 species